rnacentral:rRNA from 1 species
UGGGGAAUAUUGCACAAUGGGCGCAAGCCUGAUCCAGCCAUGCCGCGUGAGUGAUGAAGGCCUUAGGGUUGUAAAGCUCUUUCGCCGACGAAGAUAAUGACGGUAGUCGGAGAAGAAGCCCCGGCUAACUUCGUGCCAGCAGCCGCGGUAAUACGAAGGGGGCUAGCGUUGUUCGGAAUCACUGGGCGUAAAGCGCACGUAGGCGGAUUGUUAAGUCAGGGGUGAAAGCCUGGAGCUCAACUCCAGAACUGCCCUUGAUACUGGCAAUCUCGAGUCCGGAAGAGGUAAGUGGAACUGCGAGUGUAGAGGUGAAAUUCGUAGAUAUUCGCAAGAACACCAGUGGCGAAGGCGGCUUACUGGUCCGGUACUGACGCUGAGGUGCGAAAGCGUGGGGAGCAAAACAGGAUUAGAUACCCUGGUAGUCCACGCCGUAAACGAUGGAGGCUAGCCGUUGGCGAGCAUGCUCGUCAGUGGCGCAGCUAACGCAUUAAGCCUCCCGCCUGGGGGAGUACGGUCGCAAGAUUAAAACUCAAAGGAAUUGAC